rnacentral:misc_RNA from 1 species
GCAUACCUACCAUCAACUAUAAUAGCGACUCAACUGCAGACCUAAACUGAACUGCUUCGAUUUUUCGUACCACGAAGUCUUAUAUCCGACCAAUUGACGCUGAAGCGAAAAAUAACCUAAACUGAGUCGCUAACGGAAUUCAUUCAUACGCCUUCUCGUACUAUGAAGUCAUCUUGUAACCUAAACUGAAUCGUUAAGCUGUCAAACUGAGCCGACCAAAUAAAGUUACUUAUAUUGUGGCUGGAACUGAAUCGUUUUCACGUAUUUUACUUAUAAUUGAUUAAAAAUUAAUAAAUUAGUAUUAGUAUUGGUAAAUAAAUAAUUUCUGGAAGCUUGUAGUGAUGUUUGAUGAAUAAUACUUUUCGAUUUUAUGAAAAACGAUAGUGAAAUAAAUACCCGGAGUCGGAAUCCCUCGAUCACAGCAGCUAAGACAUGUGGAUGUCCGCGUUGUAAAUCAUGCGCUCUGCACUCA